UACAGAGGGGCAAGCGUUAUUCGGAAUUAUUGGGCGUAAAGGGCGCGUAGGCGGCCUGGCAAGUGGAUGGUGAAAUCCCUCGGCUUAACCGAGGAACUGCCAUCCAGACUGCUUGGCUUGAGACCGGGAGAGGUGAGUGGAAUUCCCGGUGUAGCGGUGGAAUGCGUAGAGAUCGGGAAGAAUACCUGUGGCGAAGGCGGCCAGCUGGGCCAGAUCCGACACUGAGGCGCGAAAGCGUGGGGAGCAAACAGGG
rnacentral:rRNA from 1 species